rnacentral:miRNA from 1 species
GGCGGGUCCGGCGGUGG